rnacentral:rRNA from 1 species
UACGAAGGGGGCUAGCGUUGUUCGGAAUCACUGGGCGUAAAGCGCACGUAGGCGGAUGUGUCAGUCAGGGGUGAAAUCCCGGAGCUCAACUCCGGAACUGCCUCUGAUACAGCACGUCUUGAGUUCGAGAGAGGUGGGUGGAAUUCCUAGUGUAGAGGUGAAAUUCGUAGAUAUUAGGAAGAACACCGGUGGCGAAGGCGGCCCACUGGCUCGAUACUGACGCUGAGGUGCGAAAGCGUGGGGAGCAACAGG